rnacentral:rRNA from 1 species
AUUGAACGCUGGCGGCAUGCUUUACACAUGCAAGUCGAACGGCAGCGCGGGCUUCGGCCUGGCGGCGAGUGGCGAACGGGUGAGUUAUGCAUCGGAACGUGCCCAGUAGUGGGGGAUAGCCCGGCGAAAGCCGGAUUAAUACCGCAUACGACCUGAGGGUGAAAGCGGGGGACCGAAAGGCCUCGCGCUAUUGGAGCGGCCGAUGUCGGAUUAGCUAGUUGGUGGGGUAAAGGCUUACCAAGGCGACGAUCCGUAGCUGGUCUGAGAGGACGACCAGCCACACUGGGACUGAGACACGGCCCAGACUCCUACGGGAGGCAGCAGUGGGGAAUUUUGGACAAUGGGGGCAACCCUGAUCCAGCCAUGCCGCGUGCGGGAAGAAGGCCUUCGGGUUGUAAACCGCUUUUGUUCGGGAAGAAAUCCUCUGGGCUAAUACCCCGGGGGGAUGACGGUACCGGAAGAAUAAGCACCGGCUAACUACGUG